UGGGCACUAGGUGGGGGGCUCAUUCCACGAGUUCCGUGCCGCAGCAAACGCAUUAAGUGCCCCGCCUGGGGGAGUACGGCCGCAAGGGCUAAAACUCAAAGGAAUUGACGGGGGCCCGCACAAGCGGCGGAGCAUGCGGAUUAAUUCGAUGCAACGCGAAGAACCUUACCAAGGCUUGACAUGCACGGGAAGCCACCAGAGAUGGUGGUCUCUUUGGACACUCGUGCACAGGUGGUGCAUGGUUGUCGUCAGCUCGUGUCGUGAGAUGUUGGGUUAAGUCCCGCAACGAGCGCAACCCUCGUCCCAUGUUGCCAGCGGGUUAUGCCGGGGACUCAUGGGAGACUGCCGGGGUCAACUCGGAGGAAGGUGGGGAUGACGUCAAAUCAUCAUGCCCCUUAUGUCUUGGGCUUCACGCAUGCUACAAUGGCCGGUACAAAGGGCUGCGAUACCGUAAGGUGGAGCGAAUCCCAAAAAGCCGGUCUCAGUUCGGAUUGGGGUCUGCAACUCGACCCCAUGAAGUCGGAGUCGCUAGUAAUCGCAGAUCAGCAACGCUGCGGUGAAUACGUUCCCGGGCCUUGUACACACCGCCCGUCAAGUCACGAAAGUCGGUAACACCCGAAGCCCAUGGCCCAACCGUUCGCGGGGGGAGUGGUCGAAGGUGGGACUGGCGAUUGGGACUAAGUCGUAACAAGGUAGCCGUAG
rnacentral:rRNA from 1 species